GAACACUGAAUUCAGAGGUGCUGCACUGACAUCCCUGGAGACUGAAACCCUCUCCUCUUCCAUAGGAAAGAUACCACAAGGGAAGUGGAAACUUUCCCAUGCUACCUCCCCAAUAGAUCUAAAUUCUUAUCUGUAAAGAAGCUCAUGUUGGGCCAACCUCACUUUGGGGAGUUUCAUCUGUUCCCAAGUGCACAUAAGAGAACUAUCCAUGAUGACUCCAAGAUCUUUCUC